ACCAGUGGGGAAGGGUCUCUUUUUCUGGACAUCCAUCCUUUGGAGUUUUGUAGGGAGCCCUGAACAGGGAAAUAUAACUGUUAAGUGAGAAGAUGGAAAAUUCAUUGUGCUCUGCAGAGAAGAAAGACAAUUUUCUUUGUAUGAAUGGCAGAACAGCCCAGCCCCAUGGAAAGAUUUGUAGGACUAAUGGCAGAAGUGAGAGGAAGCACCAUCAAUUUCUAUCAAACGCUAUAAGU